rnacentral:rRNA from 1 species
CGUAGGGUGCGAGCGUUAAUCGGAAUUACUGGGUGUAAAGGGCGUGUAGGCGGGAAUGCAAGUCAGAUGUGAAAUGCCGAGGCUUAACCUCGGAGCUGCAUCUGAAACUGUGUUUCUUGAGUGUCGGAGAGGAAAGUGGAAUUCCCAGUGUAGCGGUGAAAUGCGUAGAUAUUGGGAGGAACACCAGUGGCGAAGGCGACUUUCUGGACGAUAACUGACGCUGAGGCGCGAAGGCGUGGGGAGCAAACAGGAUUAGAUACCCUGGUAGUCCACGCCGUAAACGAUGGAUACUAGGUGUAGGAGGUAUCGACCCCUUCUGUGCCGCAGUUAACACAAUAAGUAUCCCACCUGGGGAGUACGGCCGCAAGGUUG